UACAGAGGUCUCAAGCGUUGUUCGGAUUCAUUGGGCGUAAAGGGCGCGUAGGCGGCUCGGUAAGUAGGGGGUGAAAUCCUGCGGCUUAACCGCAGGGCUGCCUUCUAAACUGUCGAGCUUGAGCACGGUAGAGGCAGAUGGAAUUCCCGGUGUAGCGGUGGAAUGCGUAGAGAUGUGGAGGAACACCGAUGGCGAAGGCAGCCCCCUGGGCCAAUACUGACGCUCAUGCACGAAAGCGUGGGGAGCAAACAGG
rnacentral:rRNA from 1 species